AAACAUCCAAAAAUAAUGCACCACAUAUAAUUCAUGUAAAGUUUAAUUUGAAUACCAUAUAAUAUCCAUUGAAGCUAAUUCAUACAUCAUCACAUCAUAUAAGGUCACCUUUAUUCACACAUAUAGAUAGACAAUAUAAUAUAAAAAAUGGAAUACAAAUCUCUUGGUUAGGAACUUCUGCACUAGAAUAAAUUACGAGUUUAACUCUUUUUCACAAGCUUCAUGUGGAAUGCCAUUUCAUUUUUCUUCUCCAUGUUGGUUUCAUGUGUUGCCUCCACUCUGCAAGUAAUACCAAUUGACACGUUGUUAAUAACUUAGUAUACAUGGUUGCAUGCACAUAACCAAAGCAACAGAGAAAAGUCACCAGGAGCUAAAAAAUUCUGAAUGCUUUCCUAUUUGCAUGCACAGUAGCUAAAAAGUCACCAACAACAGAGAAGUUUGCCUUCCUAGUUGACAGAGAUGCAAGAAGCACCAUAAAAUACUUGAGCUAACUUAACAAAAAACUAAGCCCUUUCCUAUUAGAUACUAGACGGCCAAAUACCUGUCCCUCGCAGCAAUUAAAAGUACACAAGCAUGAUAAAACUGAACAUAUAUCAUAAAACUGCUAUUACUAUUACAGAUCAGCUAAGAGAACAGCUAUUACUAUCACACAUAAACCUGAAUGCAUAGUAGUAACAACUAGGAGAGCAACUGUUACUACUACCCUAUGGAUGAUGCUUUGCAAUCUAGCAUACCCGUUCGGCAAAACUGCUAGAUGUUCUCCUAUCACAUAAAACUGCUAUUACUCUCUAGGUAAUUAUAAUUGAAGCAUAUAUCCAGUGCAGUGAAACUUGAUUCAGGUUGUAACUGAUUCAAUGAGCAAUGUAACAGAUUCAGGGUAUUUGAAACUUGAUGUAGCAUGCUACUUUAAACCCCCUGGUUGUCCAGUUUGAAAGAAAUAAAUAGACAAAAGAUGAUACAAGAAUGCUAUAAUAGAGACCACUGUUUUAAAAAGACUGAGAUAAUGCUAUUUAAAAAUUUAUUCAUUUGGGUUUCUAGAUCUCAAUUCUCAAGCAUGAUUCUAAACUAGCACAUCAGUUCACAGAAACUAAUAAGAAAGAAAUGCAGCAAUCUUUUCUAGGUACUGAUUCAAUGCAGCAAUUUUUAGAUAAUGUAACAAAAUUUCAUUGUACUUCAAUAUGUAGUCGUUGAUUAUUUGUGGUUUCAAACCUAAUUUUUUAGAUAAGAAUUGCGAUUAUCUAAUUUGCAGACUACAGUGAUACACCUAUUGAUCUUAAACCAUUCUCUCAAAGAAGCCGAACCAAACAGUCAGAACUGACAAGCUCCUAAAAAGUAUACGAAGUCAGUGCAGCAUCAAUUUUCAGUGAAGAAAUGCAAGAACUAGAGGGUGGUUCUCCUUUUGUCUACAAGUCAUUCUGAUCCAUUAAUACUGGCUACUGAUGAAACCAAGCAACUAAACCCCUUCUGAGGUUAGUUCAUUCAAACCUCCAAACAAUUGUUGAAUGCAGAUUUUUUGCAGUGAAUUUAUUAAAGAACCCAGUUCAAGUUCAACUGAACAAAAAAUGCAUCAAGAUGGACAGUUUAAAUAGAUCAAUCGAUGUAUUGUUCUAAACAAAAAAUAGGCAUCACUUAACUGAUCCAAAAACUGUGCCCCAAACUGAAACCAGCAACUUCCUCUUGGUUCAUGCAUAAAAAUUCAUCAGAUUUCACUAGGACUCUGGAACCCGCUAGGUGCGUGCAUUAGAGUUUAUGCAGUUCAUGAUAAAUCAUAGGAGAGUCGGCCUUGUACUCGGUAGGUGCAUACCUCACUAGCGUUGGGGUUCAAAUCUUGGAGGAGACGAUCUUGUACUGGAUCUUGGAGAAGACCAUGUACUGGGUCUUGGAGACAACAUUGUAUUGUACCUUCGAAGAACCGAAUAAUGGAGAAUGAAUUGAAACCCUAGGUAAGUACAUAAUUUACAAGGAGGAGCGAAGGUCUUACAUAGUGCCGCGGAAGACGGUGGUGGAGGACAGCAAACUGAGGCAGAGAUGGCGGUGAAUGACGACAAAUCCGAGACGGUGGCGGUGGUGGAGGGCACCGUCGCCUCACGUCUCGCUCACGACUGCUUCGGGGAAGGACGACGAUGGAGUAGCGGCAGAGCGGAUGGCAGCAAUGUGGACGACGAUGGAGCGGCGGCGGAGCGGAUGGUGGUGGCGACGGAGGGCGCGGACGCGCGGUCGCUUCGCUCGGAUCCGCUCGUGUCCCUUCCAAACUAGGGAAGCUUGCCCGACCUCGGGUGGCCGGGAGCGCUUCCACGGGUAUCCCUCCGUGUCGGGGGAGAACUGGACCAGGGUGUUUGUCUUCCAAAUGGGCCAAAAAGUAUGCCCGGGGUAGAUCUCCACGUGAGCUUUGGACCCGGGAAAAAGUAUGAUUUUCCCGCGAGGAAAUGGCCUUACAAACAAGCCCUUACGGGUUCGAGCACAAUUCGCUCAACACCACCGCCGUGCGGCGGGUCCGAAAC
rnacentral:lncRNA from 1 species